rnacentral:rRNA from 1 species
GUUUUUUUUUAUUUUUAAUCUAUUUUUGUAAAAUGUUUUAGUUUUUUAUAUUUUUUGGAGAUGUAUAAAAUUUGGUGUUUGAACUGGAUUAGUACCCAGGUAAUCAAAGUUUAUUAAUUCGGGAGUAAAGUUUAGUUUAAACCGAAAAAAUAUUGACUGACUUUAGAUUUUUCUUUGGAAUAUGUGAUUUUGGAUAGUCCUCCUUAUUGGUUAAUUUUGUUGGCACAUGUAUGAUUGUUUAGUUUUUAUUAUAUCAGUGAUGCUUUUUUUAUAAUUUUUAUUUUAAAACAGAUAUAUAUUUGGCUUAUAAGUUAAUUUUUCAUGUGUUACUAUUAUUAAAUUUUUUGGAUUGGAUUUUUUAUUAAAUGUUUUUAUGAAAUUGGAAAAGAAAGUAAUUGGGAUUUUUAUGUUUGGAUGAAUUU